rnacentral:rRNA from 1 species
AAUCAACGCUGGCGGCGUGCCUAACACAUGCAAGUCGAACGCGAAAGGGGAGCAAUCCCUGAGUAGAGUGGCAAACGGGUGAGUAACACGUGGGUGACCUGCCUUCGAGUGGGGGAUAACCUUCCGAAAGGAGGGCUAAUACCGCAUGACAUACCGUGUUUGGAUACACGGAUAUCAAAGCCGGGGAUCGCAAGACCUGGCGCUUGAAGAGGGGCCCGCGUCCGAUUAGCUAGUUGGUGAGGUAACGGCUCACCAAGGCUCCGAUCGGUAUCCGGCCUGAGAGGGCGGACGGACACACUGGAACUGAGACACGGUCCAGACUCCUACGGGUGGCAG